rnacentral:lncRNA from 1 species
UUUUAUCUUUCAGCUUAUUCAGCAAAAAUAGUUAGUAUGAAAUUUUUUAUUUUUGUGUAUAGUAAUUAUAGUCCGAGAUUACUCUGACGUCCAACGGCUGUUUUGCCAGACAAGCUGGGGCCGUGGGAUGUCAGAGCUCGUCCCAUAUCAAAAAGUUGAUAUUUGCCCACCCAAAAUAGAUGCGCUGCUUCGUCGCUUCAGGUGCCGAUUGAGGGCAUUGGAAUUAUAUAAAUCGGGCAUCAAUCUGUUCAUUUUUCAUUUAUCUCUUCAUUUAUGUAAGUUUCACCUACCUGCCAACCUUUAUUUUCCCAUAUUUUAACAGUUUUCACAGAGACCCAUCGAUUUCUGCAUUCUAACUUUCACUUUCAAAUGGACGUCAAGUUACGAGAGAGUUCGUGGUCUCGAGACUCAAAUAUGCAAAUAUUUUUUUUCACCUCCUUUAUAGGAGAUCGAUGUUUAACAUUUAGGAGCCAACCACGAUUUUUCACCUCCUUUACAGGAGAUCGGUAUUAAGCAUUUAUUUCUGACCACGGUAACAGUCGGAAGCUCUCGGACAUUUAGAUAACUUGCAUCGUAAAUGAACGAGGUGUUACAUUAUGGUCAUUUGCACUUUUUUCUUGUGGUCACGUAAUAGUCAAAAUUCAGAAAUCGAUG